rnacentral:rRNA from 1 species
UACGUAGGGGGCAAGCGUUGUCCGGAAUCAUUGGGCGUAAAGAGCGUGUAGGCGGCCCGAUAAGUCCGCUGUGAAAGUCCAGGGCUCAACCCUGGAAUGCCGGUGGAUACUGUCGGGCUCGAAUCCGGAAGAGGUGAGUGGAAUUCCUGGUGUAGUGGUGAAAUGCGCAGAUAUCAGGAGGAACACCAAUGGCGAAGGCAGCUCACUGGGACGGUAUUGACGCUGAGACGCGAAAGCGUGGGGAGCAAACAGG